rnacentral:lncRNA from 1 species
GGAUACGUUCAAGGCUUCUGCCUAAUGCCUUUUCUAGUAUUCUACAGUAUUCCGUGCACGGAGUAAUAAUAAGGUUAUGUUGUGACUGAGUAACUAAUCAGCACUGGUCUCUGAGAAGAAGCAGUGCUCCCUGUGGGAACUUGGAAGCUACAGGGGGAGUGUCUGAAGGGAUGGGAAAAAGGAAGGUACGUAUCGCCAAGCAGGAGGUAUGGCUAUUACGAGUAAUUACGAUACUUUUGUACAUACCACUUCUUUCCUUUCUACAGACCAGACCAGAAUAAAACGUCAGUCACGCGUCACUGCACCAACUAAAACAUCAUCACUGCUUCGAAUGUGACUGACAAGCAGCCAAAAGUCUAAUUAAAUCAGCCGGCUCACUGUCAAGAGCCGCCCUACAAAGAUUGUCCCCAACACUUUCCAGUGUCCUGUCAAUCAGAGAAAAGGGAAAAGGGAAGGGAACAGAAAAGAAAAAAAAGCAAAUAAAGAAAGCUCGAGCCCUCCCACUCCCACAUUUUGGGAUUUCUGGGCCUGGCGCUCAAUCCUGCAUCGUGAUUGAUCAGUUGGCCAUUUGCCUCGGGCAUCGUGCUUGUGCAUCACUCGAGUCACUGCAUGCAUUGCAAAUCAUGGUCACGGCGAUUAGUACGAUGGGAUGGAUGGCCACUGGUUAGACAGCCAAGCGCGACAAGAAGAAAAAAAGCAAAGAUGGAAAGGAAGGCUAGGCUACGACACUAUCCCGUCGCGGAUCCUGAUCAGUCGUCACCAUGAUCGUAGUAGACUGUGUAAAAAGAAAAUAAAGAAAAUCACUCCACUCCCGACGUUGGAGUGUAGAUCCAUCUCACACCACACUGGAUCGAUCGAUGCGACAAUAUCUGAGCAGUACAGAUCGUGCUCGGCAUCUACAAUCCAGCUUGUUGUAGGCCCAGGGAAAGACCUAAUGUCGGCAAACCCACGGAAUACGUGUGCUGAAAUCCGAGCGGUUCCCGAGCGGCAGGUUUAGGCUUGGAGAUCACCCGUCAACUGGUCUGUCUGUCCAGUCGUUUAGUUUUCGGUCACACCUACCUGUCAAAGGACAUCCCGGUGAUGGUGAUACCACUGCUCAUGCGUAUCUCAUGCUCGUACGUACGACUCUACAGAGCCAAAUUGCCGCCGACUCUAGGCAACUAAUUGGUGUGUAUGUGUGCAUCACCGUUUUUCAGGAUAUCUCAACCCGCUCCGACUUCCGUAACAUCCCUUACUGUCUUCGCCACAGCAAUAUAUCCAGAUCCACCCCGAGACCAAAAGCUACAGCCUGAUGACCAGUCGCAAAAACCCAGCAUGUUUACUUUUCCCGAAUACGUACUCCGUACACAGUCAGGUAGCGUACGCAUCAUCGCAUGCGUACUGCAUAUUACUGUAUGUAUCGUAGUGGGAUGGAAAGCAAGCGUGACGGUUCGGCCACCCCUUUGCUUGUUUUUCAGUUCCUACUUUUUGCUCCUUUUUUUUCAAAGCUCAUUGAACGAACUUGAACAGCCAAGCAACAAACGUGAAAGCAGGCCCCGUGCAUCCUUGCAGCAGUCAGGGCACAAACAAGUUACACACGGUUGAGCAAGCUUACUCUGCAGGUAGUCGAAAUCACUAUUGACCAAUGAGCCACUGACUCUGGAUGAUAUCAGAAGCAAUCUGGUGCGAAGUCAGUGGUAGGUAAAGCCCAUCGAUGCGAACACCUUUAUGAUAUUCUCUCCGACAUGAACUCCUGACUCCACAUUCUCCUGAUCGAAACCAGCCACAGACCAUAAGUGAUCUAGAUCUACACACGGAUCGAAAGUUGCUUCUUGCAUGCCAAGCUUGACGACUGCCGAAAUAGAAGCCGUCCCUUAUUUUGGUGGUCUAUCUAGUUGCCUCUUCUGGGAGUCUUAUGAUGGGGUAGAUGUCAUGUCUAAAGGAUGUAAGAUAGACACCCUUUGCCACGGCUGCAUACCAACGCUGACCAUCACGCGGCCAUUGCGAUUGAUCAGCGCUCAUCCCUCAACUUUCAACUUGGGUUCAGACGAAGAAGCAAAGGUCGAAGAGCUAUCGCCAAUUGUGUGUUGCACCAGAGCGGAUGACCAAUUUCCGAAGGACGGGAGCUCGCAUGCAGCUGUCAAACAUCAAACCAUCUCCCCUGCUCUGUUGCUCUGGUCGAGGAGAGGACAGAUCCACAUCUGUGCUGCGCCGGUUGCAUGUGAGGUGCCAAACGGAACAAAGGAUGCGAUAUACCCGUUGCAUCCUUAUUCUUUGUCCCUGGGUCUAGACAAACACGGUCUUCGAGACAGAAUUGACUAACGAUUCAUGUGGAAAAGAAAAGUAGUAAGAAAGGCAGAAGCAUGGAUCAGGUGAUUAAGAUGACUGGUUAGCUAGGAAGGUGCAAGGGUAGCGCCUGCUGCGAUAGCCACCACAUUACAUCACAUCACGUGUUGGACUGAAUAGGCAAGAAUCAGCUUCACUCUGCUUGAGUUGCAGAUGAAAAAUCUCUGCACGUUUGCUGUUUGUUGCGGAGCAUAAGACCUGUCGAGCGCAUGCCAUCAUAUGUGUAUAUGGAUAUAUAUAGAUAUACAUGUGAUAUGAACGAUAUCUCCAUGUAGGCACUGGGAGAGAAAUGAAAUCUCAAGGCGAAACCGUGGCAACAAUCCAACAUUGAAAGGGUCAGUUGCACACUAUAUACGUAUACCAAUAUCAAAGCACAUCAAAUGACCGGCCGUUU